UCGCUCCUGUGGCACAGAUCACUAUCCACUGGGACCAUGGCCCCAAGACUCUGUUAGAGCCCAGGUGGCAUUUCCCAACAACUGUGGUGUCUGGUGUGCAUCUGAGCUGCAUGGGGAUCAGACAUGUUAUGCCCAGGAAUGGAAAGCUCAGACAUUCCAAACAGGACUGAGUAGCAGUGGGAAACACAGAUGUUAAACCAAGGUCCUCUCUGUUCAUUCCUGGUCACUGUCCAGGCGGAGGCUAAAGAUCCCAAGGGAUAACCCCAGCCUCCUGGCUAAACAACGUGAGAGCUGUUGCUUAUCAUGCAAUGGCAGCUGUGUGUCCCCUGCGCAGGCCUGGCCUAACUCAUUACUUUGUAAACUAAAAUGCUUUGAAACACUCUAUGGAAAGGAGAAUACUCCAGUGCCUGGCGCAGAGCAGGUAGGAGUCAGGACUCUAGGGUUCCGUUCCUGCCUCCAUCACUGACUUAGGACCCGAUUCUCCAUCGCCCUGUACCUCAUGCUGUCAUUCCCAUGGUCUGAGCACACUGCACGGCCUGUACCACCGCACAGUCCAUAGGUGCCUUCAGAACCAGCACCUCAUCAAGCUUCACUGGAAAAUGCUACCCAGCCUGAGACGAUUCUGCUGAAAGAACAUCAGCAGUGGAAUGUCCCUGUUCAAGCUGCAUCACUGUAUCGUCAGCAUUUUUCUAUCUCCCGUUAGCGCCUCUGAGGGCAGAAACAGGAUGUAGGUAAAGGUAACAGCUUCCCCCUGCCUCUCUGUGGUCUCAGAAACCUGCACGUUUCCACCACCUUCCCACACCACAGCCUUCUGACUUAGCCCCGUCUCCUGUUUGCUCACGUAAAGCUGGUUUCAAACCCAAGAUGUAAACAAAAGCCCUGCACCAAGAGACAUGCUGUGCUUCAUGCAGUGAGGUUGUGGUGGUCACAAGAUGUCUGGGGAGAGGAGUCAGUUACACAGAUCAGCCUGACCAUGAGAAAAUAAAACCUCAUGCUGCAGCACCCCAGCAAGCACUUUGCGUGCCAUAUGGCUGUACCUACCUCUGUAAUGUGGUGCGCUGAUGACAUACACAAUCUGUUACAGAGCACAGAAGAAGAGACGGUCCAUGCCUUGAGGAGUUCCUCAUCUCACACAUCAACAAAACCAGGGCCAUGGCUCAGGACAGGCAGGGAGUGCAGGCAACGCUGCCGUGCCUGGGGGAGCUUGGGACAUGCAGAUGGGAGAUCCCAGCUGUGAGGCGCCAGAGGUCACCAGCCCCUGCCCUCGCGGCACGG